GGCUGUCGUCAGCCUCGUGUCGUGAGAUGUUGGGUUAAGUCCCGUAACGAACGCAACCCUUGUCCUUAGUUACCAGCACGUUAUGGUGGGCACUCUAAGGAGACUGCCGGUGACAAACCGGAGGAAGGUGGGGAUGACGUCAAGUCAUCAUGGCCCUUACGGCCUGGGCUACACACGUGCUACAAUGGUCGGUACAAAGGGUUGCCAAGCCGCGAGGUGGAGCUAAUCCCAUAAAACCGAUCGUAGUCCGGAUCGCAGUCUGCAACUCGACUGCGUGAAGUCGGAAUCGCUAGUAAUCGUGAAUCAGAAUGUCACGGUGAAUACGUUCCCGGGCCUU
rnacentral:rRNA from 1 species